GCCUCCGUAGGGAAAUGGUAACCCGUCAGACUCCUGAUCUGAGGAUUGUGGUACGUUCCGCGUCCAACGCACUAACUGGUUUGAUCUGAUGCUAACAAAACAUCAGGGUUCGAGUCCCGCCGGAGGUU